AGCGGGAGCAGGAGGAGAAGGGGUUGUUCCUGGAGUUAUGCCCCACACUAGGGCACCGAUGUUACAGUAAAGAGCUGGGGGGAGGGAUAUAAACGAUUCUAGGGGAUUUUUUGCAGGCCCUGGAGUGUGCUCUGGUGUUGUGGAAACAUGAAUACCCUCAUUUUACAGAUGCAUAAUGCCUGACGCUGAGCCCUUUGAGCACACUCUUUGCUCUCCAUGCGGAUGAUCCCRUGUCAUAUGUGGGGGAAACGCCUGCACGCUGACUAGAUCCGAUGGAGCCGAGCGCUUGAAACUGCUCUGGAAGUGGUGGUGCAGGUCCCCUACCUCUCCUGGGCUCUCUAGAGCCUGGGAAUGCUGACACCUUAAUGAGCCUCCCGCGGAGCACCCUGGGGCCCGGAUCACAGGAUGGCGCCUCUGAGGGAACAUAAGGACUGAAGAAUCUGGGGAUUGCAUAAGAGAAGCCACUUCAGAUUACUGCACGUUUCAAAUUGGCCUCAAAGAGGCUGGGCUGCCUGGUGUUGGGAAGAAUCGGAUUCAAGGAAUCGAGAGCAGGAAAUGCCUUUUGAGGUCAUGUGGCCUAUCUGCUAGACACGGAAUUGCACAUGCUGUCAGAGUUUCACACCCUCUCCAGGAGGAUUACGUCAGAGCAGGAAGCAGCGCCCGAGCGCCCUUGUCAGCGUUUCCAAUUUCCGCAGCAAAAGUAAAUGGAACAACAAAAGGGGUUUUGGCUCGCAAGGGCCAAGUCUGCGCCGCAGAAGCUGGAAGGCACCAGUAGAGGGUUCUCGGGAUCCUGGCACUCCAGCUYGGGGGAAACCCAGGCCAAAUAAUUGUUCCCAAAAAGCUAGAGGAAAAUGUUGCCACGUAAUAAAUGGGAUUUUUUUUCCCA
rnacentral:lncRNA from 1 species